UACGUAGGGGGCUAGCGUUGUCCGGAAUCAUUGGGCGUAAAGAGCGUGUAGGCGGCCCGGUAAGUCCGCUGUGAAAGUCGGGGGCUCAACCCUCGAAAGCCGGUGGAUACUGUCGGGCUAGGGUGCGGAAGAGGCGAGUGGAAUUCCUGGUGUAGCGGUGAAAUGCGCAGAUAUCAGGAGGAACACCGAUUGCGAAGGCAGCUCGCUGGGACGUAACUGACGCUGAGACGCGAAAGCGUGGGGAGCAAACAGG
rnacentral:rRNA from 1 species